rnacentral:rRNA from 1 species
GACGAACGCUGGCGGCGUGCUUAACACAUGCAAGUCGAACGGAAAGGCCCUGCUUUUGUGGGGUGCUCGAGUGGCGAACGGGUGAGUAACACGUGAGUAACCUGCCCUUGACUUUGGGAUAACUUCAGGAAACUGGGGCUAAUACCGGAUAGGAGCUCCUGCUGCAUGGUGGGGGUUGGAAAGUUUCGGCGGUUCGGGAUGGACUCGCGGCUUAUCAGCUUGUUGGUGGGGUAGUGACUUACCAAGGUUUUGACGGGUAGCCUGCCUGAGAGGGUGACCGGCCACACUGGGACUAAGAUACGGCCCAGACUCCAACGGGCGGCAGCGGUGGAAAAUAUUGCGCAAUGGGCGGAAGCCUGAUGCAGCGACGCCCCGUGCGGGAUGACGGCCUUCUGGUUGUAAACCGCUUUCGCCUGUGACGAAGCGUGAGUGACGGUAAUGGGUAAAGAAGCACCGGCUAACUACGUG